ensembl:lncRNA
GUGUUUCUCUUUAGCAUAUCAGAACCACUAGAGAAUGUUGCUGGGUGUUUCUCUUUAGCAUAUCAGAACCACUAGAGAAUGUUGCCAGGUGUUUCUCUUUAGCAUAUCAGAACCACUAGAGAAUGUUGCCAGGUGUUCUCUUUAGCAUAUCAGAACCACUAGAGAAUGUUGCCAGGUGUUUCUCUUUAGCAUAUCAGAACCACUAGAGAAUGUUGCCGGGUGUUUCUCUUUAGCAUAUCAGAACCACUAGAGAAUGUUGCCAGGUGUUCUCUUUAGCAUAUCAGAACCCACUAGAGAAUGUUGCCAGGUGUUCUCUUUAGCAUAUCAGAACCACUAGAGAAUGUUGCCAGGUGUUCUCUUUAGCAUAUCAGAACCCACUAGAGAAUGUUGCCAGGUGUUCUCUUUAGCAUAUCAGAACCACUAGAGAAUGUUGCCAGGUGUUCUCUUUAGCAUAUCAGAACCCACUAGAGAAUGUUGCCAGGUGUUUCUCUUUAGCAUAUCAGAACCCACUAGAGAAUGUUGCCAGGUGUUCUCUUUAGCAUAUCAGAACCACUAGAGAAUGUUGCUGGGUGUUCUCUUUAGCAUAUCAGAACCCACUACAGAAUGUUGCCAGGUGUUCUCUUUAGCAUAUCAGAACCACUAGAGAAUGUUGCCAGGUGUUCUCUUUAGCAUAUCAGAACCACUAGAGAAUGUUGCCAGGUCUUCUCUUUAGCAUAUCAGAACCCACCUUCCGGUUACUAGUCCAACGCUCUAACCACUAGGCUACCCUGCCGCCAGGGAGAGUGUGAUGUCAUAUCGGUGACAUAUCGGUGACUGAAGAGUCAUUCUCCCAACACGUUUAGAAAAAGAGGGAAUAUGAGCAACUGUAAGCACACAGAUGAUGUUGGCAGGUGUUCCAUAGGGAUUAUCCCUUUACAAUACUAGUUGUUUGCUCUGAGUCUCGCCGCUCUCGAGUAGCACCUACUGAAGAAUAGAGUUUAAAUAUGUGGCUUGGCAGGAAGUGUUAACCCCUCCAAUUCCCAGACCACAGGAUACACACAAGGACUAAUAUGUCCAUACUAACCAUUUUGGUGUUAGUCAGCAAUCUGGUGUUAAACUAUGUUGACAUGAAAAAGUGCUGGAAAAGCAUGCAGACAUUUCGGAAUAGCAGAGACUAAAGAGACAAGUGGAGACAGGAACACCAAAUCAGUCCAUUUAUCUGGGCAGGUUUCUAACCUGAUCUUCCUGCCACUGCCUUCCGUAUCAUCACUGGUAUGCUAUGAUGCUUGCAUAUACAGGAUCUAUUAAACUGUCUACUCAUAUGUCGUACCUGCAGAACCGUUGUCUGUGUUGUCUGUUGUGUUGUUCUCCACUACCUACAGAACCGUUGUCUGUGUUGUCUGUUGUGUUGUUCUCCACUACCUAC